GGACACCAAGGCGGACGUGAAGAAGGCGGCCCGCGAUUCGCUCGAAAAGGUCACUGCUCUCGUAUCGAACAAGGACAUAGAACGCUUUAUUCCCGCCCUCAUCAAGGCUCUAAUCAACCCCGUCGAGGAGGUCCCUAACACCAUCACCCUCCUGUCGGCAACCACCUUCGUUUCAGAAGUUGACUCCCCCACCCUCUCCCUCAUGGUCCCUCUCUUGUCUCGUGGUCUCAGCGAGAAGCUCACCGCUACCAAGCGUAAGGUCGCGGUCAUCAUCGACAACAUGGCCAAGCUCGUCGACUCGCCCGUGACCGUCCGCCCGUUCAUCCCCAAGCUUCUCCCCGGCCUCAUCAAGAUCGAGUCCGUCAUCGGUGAC
rnacentral:lncRNA from 1 species